AGCUUUGCGCAGUGGCAGUAUCGUAGCCAAUGAGGUUUAUCCGAGGCGCGAUUAUUGCUAAUUGAAAACUUUUCCCAAUACCCCAGAAAGACAGAGAGAGACAGAGACACAGAAAGCGUGAAAUCAUCCCCCAGGGGG
rnacentral:snRNA from 1 species